UACGGAGGGUGCAAGCGUUAUCCGGAUUCACUGGGUUUAAAGGGUGCGUAGGCGGAUAGGUAAGUCAGGGGUGAAAUCCUGGAGCUUAACUCCAGAACUGCCUUUGAUACUAUCUAUCUUGAAUAUGGUGGAGGUAAGCGGAAUAUGUCAUGUAGCGGUGAAAUGCAUAGAUAUGACAUAGAACACCUAUUGCGAAGGCAGCUUACUACGCCUAUAUUGACGCUGAGGCACGAAAGCGUGGGGAUCAAACAGG
rnacentral:rRNA from 1 species